CUACGGGAUGCUGCAGUAAGGAAUAUUGGUCAAUGGACGAAAGUCUGAACCAGCUAUGCCGCGUGAAGGAUUAAGGUCCUCUGGAUUGUAAACUUCUUUUAUAUGGGACGAAAAAAGGUCUUUCUAGAUCACUUGACGGUACCAUAUGAAUAAGCACCGGCUAACUCCGGGCCAGCAGCCGCGGUAAUACGGAGGGUGCAAGCGUUAUCCGGAUUCACUGGGUUUAAAGGGUGCGUAGGCGGGCAGGUAAGUCAGUGGUGAAAUCCUGGAGCUCAACUCCAGAACUGCCAUUGAUACUAUCUGUCUUGAAUAUUGUGGAGGUAAGCGGAAUAUGUCAUGUAGCGGUGAAAUGCUUAGAUAUGACAUAGAACACCUAUUGCGAAGGCAGCUUACUACGCAUAUAUUGACGCUGAGGCACGAAAGCGUGGGGAUCAAACAGGAUUAGAUACCCUGGUAGUC
rnacentral:rRNA from 1 species